GUAGUUAGCCGGGGCUUUCUUACAGGGUACCGUCACUUCUUCGUCCCCUGCGACAGAGGUUUACAAUCCGAAAACCUUCUUCCCUCACGCGGCGUUGCUGGGUCAGGCUUGCGCCCAUUGCCCAAUAUUCCCCACUGCUGCCUCCCGUAGGAGUCUGGACCGUGUCUCAGUUCCAGUGUGGCCGAUCAGCCUCUCAGCUCGGCUACCCAUCGUCGGCUUGGUGGGCUGUUAUCUCACCAACUACCUAAUGGGACGCGAACCCCUCUAAAAGCGAUAAAUCUUUGACCUCUUCCCGAUGCCGGGUUGUGGUCUUAUGCGGUAUUAGCAGUUGUUUCCACCUGUUAUUCCCCACUCUUAGGCAGGUUGUUCACGCGUUACUCACCCGUGCGCCACUAGAAUUAUCAAUUCCAUCCGAAAACUUCCUUAAUAAUCCCCGUUCGACUUGCAUGUGUUAGGCACGCCGCCAGCGUNUCUCUGCACGAGACAACUAACUACUACUACGUAGACGGCGGUCGGUCGACGGACGGCGACGUAGAG
rnacentral:rRNA from 1 species